AGCAUCCUUUUCUUGGGGUUGCGCUGCCGUCCAAUGAACGAGUAGUAAGGGCAGUACUGCCAACGCCUACCCAACAUGCCCGCAUCAACUAGAGCUCCGCUUUCCUUUGGUGCAAUUUUUGGAAAA
rnacentral:ncRNA from 1 species